ACAAGCGGUGGAGCAUGUGGUUUAAUCGAAGCAACGCGAAGAACCUUACCAGGUCUUGACACCCCGAUGCUAUUUCUAGAGAUAGAAAGUUACUUCGGUACAUCGGUGACAGGUGGUGCAUGGUUGUCGUCAGCUCGUGUCGUGAGAUGUUGGGUUAAGUCCCGCAACGAGCGCAACCCCUAUUGUUAGUUGCCAUCAUUCAGUUGGGCACUCUAGCGAGACUGCCGGUAAUAAACCGGAGGAAGGUGGGAUGACGUCAAAUCAUCAUGCCCCUUAUGACCUGGGCUACACACGUGCUACAAUGGCCGGUACAGACGGAGGCGAAGCCGCGAGGCGGAGCAAAUCCGAAAAAGCCGGUCUCAGUUCGGAUUGCAGGCUGCAAUUCGCCUGCAUGAAGUCGGAAUCGCUAGUAAUCGCAGGUCAGCAUACUGCGGUGAAUACGUUCCCGGGCCUU
rnacentral:rRNA from 1 species